UCAAGGCCUAAACCUGCUCCAAAUCUACAUCCCAAUCCCUUUUCUGUUUGGAGUCAAAUUGAGAGCAUAGGAAAUGAGAUUCUGUCUCCUACAAAUGUGCAAAUGGCAAGCAGGUAGCGGCACUUUUAGGGGUGAUGUGCCUCUGAGAUUUAUCUAUGCAGCUUAAGGAUUUGUUUGUGAGAUUAGUCAUAGAAUAAUGCUCUAUGUAUAAACAAAAUGGCCCAUAUUAAGUGACAAAAGUUCUAACAGCACAUCCCAGGCUGUGCCCAGCUAGCCAGCCAAGCCCCCUUGGUGCUGAUGGCCUGCACAUCUCAGCCAUUGAAAUACCUGUCUCUGUAUGUGUCAACCAUUUGAUUGUUGAACAUCUUCUCCAAGACUUCAUCCACCAACUUGAUUCAGAGAUCAGUUAAAAGUCUGUUUGAUCUCAGUAGGAUAAUACGAUCAUUAAGAUCAGUCAACUUUUUACAUGGUGAUGAUAAUCAGUAGUGCAGCACACUAAAGGAAAAGAAGGGAUUCUUUUUAACCCGAUAAUACACAACAAAUCUAAGCAAUCCAGAGCUCUGGUCAGAAUGAAUGGUGUUGCGACGGCGGUGCGCCGGCGGAGGCGGGCAUGGCGCCGGAGCUGGUGGACCACCGACCUCGCCACGGCUGGCGACGACGUGGUGGAAGAUGGCACGCACCUGCCGCUCCAGCGGCGCCAACCCGUCUUGCAGCGCCCGGCACGCACCGGCACGCGCCUCGACGCGCUCCAUGACGCCCGCCGCGCCGUCCUCGUCGGUGGCGACCCCCAGCUCCUCGUCGUGUUCCUCCUCGGCGAUCUCCUCGAGGAGGCUAUUGAGCUUUGAGCUUCCGGGCAGCACGCUCCACGGCCUGCAUCGCGGCGAGGAGCCCCAGGGAACACGACGAGAUCGGCCCCGCCGAUGAGCUCUUGUUGUUGUUGUUGCUGUCCUUCUUCCUCGAAUCCUCCACGAUCUGGUCCUGGAGGAGCACCAUGGCCCAUGGGAGCCGGCGGCCAUGGACCACGGGAGGAGGAGGAGGGGGCCGACGGCCACGAGAGGAGGAGUAGGAUGCCGGCGGUCACGGGCCGGACACUGAGACGGCCAGGGGAGCGGCCACGGGAGGAGGGGUCGAGGCAGGGGAGAAUUGCAACCAAAAAAAAAACUACUAUAAAAGACUCAGUUUGUGCGGUUCAUCACCUUUUCACCUUCUUCUAUUGUAAAAAAAAGAAAAAACUCCUCAAUUUUUUUAUGGAAAUAAUAUUGCGAUACACAUAAA